AUGUGCGCUGGGACACCGGCGGACAGCGGGCUGCCCGCGCCACAAAGCGUGUGGCUGACGCUCGCACAAGCUGUGCCCCGUCACCACCGAGCGUGACACCGAGGAGGUGACCGUCCGUGGUACAGUACGCCAGUAGCACAGCUGUACCCGCACUCAUGAGAACAGAGGUGUGAUCUAUUUGGAAGACAGAGUUAUUUUGAAGGAGCUUGUCAAGCUUGCAUGAGUGGUUGCUCAAUCCCUGCUGUCUUUUUCAUCACCAUGUGUAAAGUCAAAUGAAGCACUGAAGAAAAGAAAUAGAUCUAUGUCUAUUGACAUUGGACCUACAAACCACUUAGACACAGAGGAAAACUGGUAACAAGAACAGUGAUGCAAUUGUGUAUUACUUUCUCCCCCGUUCAAAAAGUAUUUCUAUGUUAAUGAACUUCCUUUUUUUUUUCUGUAAUGGAAUUAUGGGUAUGAAAUUAGCUGCUCUCUGAUAUGCACCAAAUAAAGUUAAUAUUGUCUUAGUCUUUUGGGGUGUUGACAGAUCAAAUCUGUCAAAUCUUAGUGGUGGUUUAAUAAACCCAGUUGCCUGCUUCACCUGUCAGAGGAGCUCAUACUGUUGUCAUAGCAAAGCUGGCAUGAGGGAACAUGUGCUCCUGCUGCAGCUGCUUCACU